GUAUUUGGGAGGAGAGAGUACUGUGAUGAGCAGCCCUACAGGAACCAUGUGGAAAAGGGAAAAUUUUACCCCAAAGGAAAGGAGGCCCAGGAAUCCUGACUCCCAGAUGAGGUCCCUUUCUACUCGAGAGAGCUGGGACUUAGACAACACCCGGCCUCAGGUUCCCCUGCAGAAGCUCAAUGCUGAGAGCCAUCCCUGUCAGUGGAGUAACUGCCUCAUUCUUGAAGACUCUCCAGCUGUUUAGUAUCACAAGCACAGUAAAUACCAUUUCAUGCCUAGUGUUCCAGCCCUCUUCUCACAUAAAAGCUAUAAUCAGAUA